rnacentral:rRNA from 1 species
UACGAAGGGUGCAAACGUUGCUCGGAAUUAUUGGGCGUAAAGCGCACGUAGGCGGCUUUGCAAGUCGGAUGUGAAAGCCCUCGGCUCAACCAGGGAAGUGCAUCCGAAACUGCAGAGCUUGAGUACUUAAGAGGAUCGCGGAAUUCCCGGUGUAGAGGUGAAAUUCGUAGAUAUCGGGAGGAACACCAGUGGCGAAGGCGGCGAUCUGGGAAGAUACUGACGCUGAGGUGCGAAAGCGUGGGGAGCAAACAGG